rnacentral:lncRNA from 1 species
UGACUUUCUGUCUAGACUGGCUCUAGUGAUGGAAACAUGUUCAUACACAGUCUAAUUCAAAUACAUAGGGGGAAGUUAGGAGUAAUGGAGACCUAGAGGAGAUGUUUAUAGUUUAUCUAGCUUUGAGUACCAGCAUUAGAUUUUUAUAAGACGAGCUUUAGAAAAGAUCGCUCAGCUACAGUGCAUGAAUAGUAAAUAACCCUGCUACACUGGGGAAAAAGGCACAUAAGAUCACCAGCCACUCCUGCUCCUCUCUAGGAGGAUUCAUCUACCUGAGGAAUGUCUACAGUUUUAUAUAGGCAAGAGGCUGAUAGGGCUGGUGUAGCUUAACAUUAGCCUUAUUCAGAAUGGUUCCAUUCCUACAGAAAAUGCAUCCUUUCAGUAGAUUCACACUCAGAAUAUUGUGGAUAGCUUUGAGUUCAUCACACCUGAGUUCAAAAUAAUCUGUGUCCAAUUUGGUGAAAAUUUUUAAGUGAAAGGUUACUUGUUGCGGGGGGAGGUUUUCAUUUGCUUGUUUAAUUCUCUGGAAAGGUGAUUUAAAGUUGCAGUUAUCAUACUAGACAAAGGAGCCAUUGAUUUAAGCUCCUUUGGGAGUUACAUUUGGGGAACUCUGUCUAUGUUGCAUAUUCAUAGUUUUCAUGGUGGCACAAGGAUAUCUUAAAGGUUAAAAAAAAAGGGUCUAGAUGUACUCCUUGAAUAUGUCUCGGUAUCGGGUUUUCUUUUUUUCAAAAUGAAAGUAUCUUCAGUUUUUUCUCAUAAAAAUAAUACAUGCUUAUUAAAUUUCUUUUAAAUCAACUAUCCUUUAAAGAUAAGUAUUUAAUUUUCAUUUAAGGCUCUUUGCUCUACAAACUCGAAUUUGAUGGGACUCAGCAGAGUAUAUUUGUCAGUUAAGUUUGUCUCAUUAUAAUCUUUGUGUAAAUUUAGACACACUGACCUCAAUGUUUAGCCCUGGCUUUGACCUGCUUCUAUUUAGUGUUUCCCUAUGCAUAUGGAUUGCUCCUUAAUUAAUAUAAAUCUAGACAUGGGGAUUAGCCGUUGCUGCAAGUUUUCUGUUAUAAAGUCUCUUGCUGUCCCUGCAACAAUAACCUCUAAUUUAUUGGUUUGGAAGUUGAUCUCAUUAUAAAACUGCUGUAUAUAUUAAUUUAUGAUGAAAGUUCUCUUCAAUUUACUUUUCAGAAAAUGUCACUUUGGGGUUUUCCUUUUUAGAAAUCACCAAUGAUCUCUUUUUUGUUUAGAGAAGCACUAAUAAGAAAAUGGGUGGUGUAGAUCAGUACUUACCAAUUUCUGCCUUCUCCCAAAACUGCCCUCUUCCUCCACUAAAAUCAAUUAAUGAGUGUCUUUCUUAGUUUAAAAUACUGCAAAUUGUAUUAGAGGUGUUUUUAUCCCAUGAAGUAUCUUCGGGUCUUUGGCAUCUGAUGCUGUUUAGGGGAUUGGGCAGAGCUGUUAAAGCUACAUGUUUCUUCUGUCGUUGUCAAUGGAAGGCUCUGAAAGCACAAAUAAAUUGAAAAGUGAAGCAGACUUUUGGCAUAAACAGACACCAUCCUUUCCUCACAUGGGAAUGUGUCUUUCACUCAGAUGUGUUUACCCAAGGAGUGAUUCAAGACUUUCUUUUCCUUACUUGAGGUAUUUCUGAAGAGUCAAAAACAUUUUGCCCAGUUUUUAAUUAACUUUUUCUUUAUUAUUUCUUAAAUGAAGAUCGUUAAAAGAUUAGAAAGAUUACAGUGGUGAAAGGGGGCUUAAAAGAUUAAUUUUUCUCAUUCUAGAAUAAAAAGGUUUUUUUUUUUUAAGAUAGGGAAAGAACUUUGCAAAAAUUGUGUAUUUCAGGUCAAAAGUCUUUCAUAGUCCCCUAAAUAAUCUCUCCCAGUGGGGUUUUUUUCCUUUCAUUGUUUACAGUUUAGGACCAGUAGUAAGUUUGUCACUCUUUAAAAUUAGUCCUCUUUCCUUCCAGAGUCACUUUUUUUUUUUUUUUGACCAUAGCAUUCUAUUAUUAUUUGGGUUUAUUUAUAGCUUCUAUCAGGAGAGACAUAAUUGUGUCAAGCUUUGCUAAGCAGUUUAGUUCCAAUGACAAGACUUAUUUUUCCUGUGCUUGUUGUCCAGCUGUUCUGUAGUCUCUUGCUCUCCACACAAAUAGAAAGGUUUCAGGUGUUACUCCCAGGUAGGCAUUUGCCACAGGUGUCUUUUCUAUCACUUAAAAUAUGUAAAAAGUGAUGAGAUUAUUAAAUAGCUGAUAUGGUUCUUGUAAUUCUCUUAGAUCCUCACUAUAUGCCACUUUUGAAGCUAAAUGCUAUUUCUUUGUUGGUUAAUUAAUUUUGCAAUUUAGACUUCUGUCUUCAUUUAGUCCAUAUCUAUAAUGUGGUGGUUUGUUAAUACAAUAGGUUUGUUAUUGGUAAAUCAAAGUAUUUUAAUAUUUAUUAUCAGUAACACCUGUGCCUGGUUUAUAAAUGACAUAGCAUGGACUUUAUGUAAGUUUUAAAAGUGAAUAUAUUCUUAAAAAGUGGUAACAGCAUAAAACACUAUAGAGGAUGUCGACUGCCUGUUGUGUACUCAGAAGGUCCCUCAGUCUAAAGGCCCUGGUGCUCUGAUCUCCUUUCUGUCUUGGUACGAUUCCCCACGUGGCUGUCACAUUCCCUUUUUCAGGUGACCUUUCAUGGAGUAUACCACCUUCUGAGACCACUGACACCACCCAUGCAGCACUGAGGAGCUCCUUCUGUGAUCACACUGACUUUUAAAGAAUCUUUAUGUACAGAGAAAUGGUUAAUGAAACUAUUCUGUAUUUUGUUAGUAGUUGUCUAAUGUCUUCAGGGACCAGGUGUGGAGACUGGAAGGAAUAGUGCUACUCUUCAGGUGAAGCAUUAGAUUUUUUUCCUGCUGACUGCAUAUAGAAAUAGCCAAAGUAGUGUGAACCACUGUUAUCUUGCUUACUUUCUCACAUCAGCUUGUUCAUUACUGCCUUCUACAGACUGCGUCUUUCACAAAUUCCAAUCGAAGAAGCAAUUAAGAGAAAGAGUGAACCACAAGAGGUCAUAUAGGAAGUAAUACAAUCCCACAUCAUUUUUUGAAAAAGAUAGGUACUAGAAUUUCUUAUAUAUAACUGUUUCCCGGCCUUUGUGACCCUGAAAUGCUUUCUUACUCAUCUUUGGCCUGUCCACAUUAGCCCAGGGAUUCUUUUGUGCUUUACUUCCUGUGGUUUGUAAUAUAAGAAUAACUGAUCAACUGUAUGUGUUUUUCAGAGUACAUACGUACAAACUCCAGCUUCACGCCAGGCUCUGAUUUGACUCCUCCCUCAAGUCUGCAGGGUAUCCUUAUCCUCCAUAAGAGUCACUGAGCUGGAUCUAAUGGCAAAGUGAAAUGGACCAGCACAUAUUUAUGUUCUUAGGCCAGAGCUUUGUGGUAUAUCUAUCCUUGGUUAGUCUUUCUCCUUUCUCCCUCUUCCUAUUAGCCAGUCUCUUCUCUUUUAUCAGUAUUUCCAGCCUCUCCUUUCUUUCACCCAGAGAAAUGUUUUUUU